UGUAAUAGUUUUGAGAGAGAGAGAGAUGGUGCGUGAGCAGGGGAGAGGGGCAGAGAGAGAGAGAGAGAGAGAGAAGGGGGGGUGUGGAAUCUUAAGCAGGCUCCAUGCUCAGCGUGGAGCCAGACGUGGGGCUCAAUCCCACAACCCUGGGAUCAUGACCUGAGCCAAAUUCAAGAGUCAGCCAUUCGACCGACUGAGCCACCCAGGCACCCUUCCCUUCAGACUUUUCUGCAUAAAAUAAAUAAAUAUCUUUCUCUCUUAUUGUCAUUGCCACUCACAAUCAAAUACAUCCUCACUAAGCUACUCACUGACGACCGCUCUGCCAAAAGCUGGUUCUGGGGACAAAGGCAAGUCACACGUGAGCCCCGUCUUCACGAAACGCACAGCUCAGAGGGGAGGGGAGGACGAACUGGCCAGCCCCCAAGGCAACUCUUCGGAAUUCCACACGACUUUUGUCUACAGGAAGUCAACUCUUGCCACGAGCUGGGCCCCCUGCUCGGCACCAGGCUCCGUGCCGGGCGCAGGGACACCUGUGCCGACCCUCGAGGGGCUCCCAGGCCAAGAACACGCUCCGUGAGCCUGGAGGCUUCACGCCCUCCAGAGCAGCAGCCUCUGACUCAGUGGCUCUAGAGUGUGGCUCCUGGUCCCCCAUCAGCCUGGGUCCAUCCUUCUCAGCAGGUCUGCGAAGGCAGCUUCCAGAAAGAGAGAGCGUGAGCCGGGGAGGGGCAGAGAGAGAGGGAGACACAGAACCCGAAGCCGGCUCCAGGCUCCGAGCUGUCAGCCCCGAGCCGGACGCGGGGCUCGAACCCACGAACUGCGAGAUGGUGACCCGAGCCGACGCUAGAAAUCGUACCGGUGAACAGCCGUUGGACGGUACAGGAACUGCCUCAUCGAAUCCUCAGGUCUCCCCUAUGAGGUUAUCGAUUGGCUUGGAGAGAGAAAGAGUGAGCGAGCGAGCAGGGGAGAGGCAGAGAGAGAGGGAGAGAGAAUCCCAAACAGCCUCUGUACCGUCAGCGUGGAGCCCGACCCGGGGCUCGAACCCCCAGACCGCGAGAUCACAACCGGAGCCGAAAUCAAGAGUUGGAUGCCGAACCGACUGAGCCACUCGGGCGCCCGGCUUUUAUUUAUUUGGGGACACGUGUCGCGUGCACCUGAAAAACAGUUCAGGCCAAAUGAAGGCAUAUGAUCUCGGAA